rnacentral:rRNA from 1 species
GACAAACGCUGGCGGGGUGCAUGAGACAUGCAAGUCGAACGGGGUUGAUCGGGCUUGCUCGAUCAACCUAGUGGCGGACGGCUGAGUAACGCGUAGGUGACCUACCCGGAAGUGGGGAAUAACUGCCCGAAAGGGUGGCUAAUACCGCAUGUGGUCGGCGAAUCGGAUCGCCGUCCAAAGCCGAAAGGCGCUUCCGGAGGGGCCUGCGUCCGAUUAGCUAGUUGGCGAGGUAACGGCUCACCAAGGCGACGAUCGGUAGCUGGUCUGAGAGGAUGAUCAGCCAGACUGGGACUGAGAACGGCCCAGACUCCUACGGGAGGCAGCAGUCGGGAAUUUUGCCCAAUGGACGAAAGUCUGAGGCAGCAACUCCGCGUGAGGGAUGAAGGCCUUCGGGUCGUAAACCUCUUUUCCCAGGGAAGAUCCAAGACGGUACCUGGGGAAUAAGCCACCGCUAACUACGUG